rnacentral:rRNA from 1 species
UGGGGAAUAUUGCACAAUGGGCGCAAGUCUGAUGCAGCCAUGCCGCGUGUAUGAAGAAGGCCUUCGGGUUGUAAAGUACUUUCAGUCGGGAGGAAGGUGUCAAGGUUAAUAACCUUGGCAAUUGACGUUACCGACAGAAGAAGCACCGGCUAACUCCGUGCCAGCAGCCGCGGUAAUACGGAGGGUGCAAGCGUUAAUCGGAAUUACUGGGCGUAAAGCGCACGCAGGCGGUUGAUUGAGUCAGAUGUGAAAUCCCCGGGCUUAACCCGGGAAUUGCAUCUGAUACUGGUCAGCUAGAGUCUUGUAGAGGGGGGUAGAAUUCCAUGUGUAGCGGUGAAAUGCGUAGAGAUGUGGAGGAAUACCGGUGGCGAAGGCGGCCCCCUGGACAAAGACUGACGCUCAGGUGCGAAAGCGUGGGGAGCAAACAGG